AGCGGUUUGUGUUCAGUGCAGUGAGACCUUCAGCCCCAGCACACAGAGCUGCUCGGAGGGAAGGAGGGAAGGAGACUCGGGUGUGCUGAUGCAGCUGCAGGGGAGGACCUCGGGGUCAUGAGCCGCCACACUUCACCUGCAGGAGAGGAGUGUGUGUCUGCCUGCGCUGUGAUGAGGGAGUGGUGGCAGCGUGUGGUGCUGCUGUUCUGCGUUCCUCUUCUCGCCUUCUACCUGCACAUCCCGCAGCCUCCGCUUUCGCCCGCCCUGCACACCUGGCACUCCUCCGGACGCUUCUUCAGCUUCCGAGGAAACAAGAUCUUUUACAAAGAGUCGCUGGGCGCUGUGGGGAGCUCUGAGGUGCUGCUGCUGCUUCAUGGGUUUCCCACCUCGAGCUACGACUGGCACAAGAUUUGGGAGCCUCUGAGUCAGCGGUUUAACAGAGUCAUUGCACUCGACUUCCUCGGCUUUGGCUUCUCUGACAAACCUAGGCCGCAUCGGUAUUCAGUGUUCGAGCAGGCCGGUGUAGUGGAGGCUUUAAUCUCACAUCUGGGCCUCGCCGAGCAGAAGAUCAACCUGCUGUCACAUGACUAUGGAGACACUGUAGCACUCGAGCUCCUCUACAGGAGUGACAACAAUCGAACUGGACACGUGGCCAUAAACAGCCUCUGCCUUUCAAACGGAGGUAUAUUCCCUGAGACGCAUUACCCGAGGUUUCUUCAGAAGGUCCUGAAGGAUUCUGGUUUCAUCUCCCCUCUGCUUACCAGACUUAUAAACUUCUACCUCUUCUCUAAAGGGAUUGGAGAAGUCUUCGGUCCGUACACGCAGCCGACUGAAGCCGAGCUCUGGGACAUGUGGACAGGGAUCCGCUUUAACGAUGGAAACUUGGUUAUGGACAGCAUCCUGCAGUAUAUUAAUCAGAGACUGAAGCACAGAGAGAGAUGGGUUGGAGCGCUCACCACUACAUUAACCCCAUCUCUGGGAAUGCUGUGUGUGUAGCCAGUGUUUAGUCACACUGCUGUCCUGUGGAGGCGGAGCACAUUCACUGUAACACCUUAUUUAAGUUAAGAGGUUUAAUCCAUUGAAAACCCUUUAAGGAGACGACUGGCCUCAUCUACACCUCAUACACAGGAGCUGUGUCUCAAAUCACAUGUGAAUACUUUUGAGUAUGCAUGUUUGGUGUAGUGUUCUUCCACUGGUCUAUAAAAAUAAAAAAAGAAACCCUCUGGAUAUAUUUAGAUGUCAAAUUAGCAUAUGACCAAGACGCUAAGUCUCCAAAUUAGUAGUUGACUGGUAUGGGAUUUUCAGUGGCAGAUACUGUUGCAGAUAUUUGCUUAACUUUUGAACAUUUCUGCUGCACUAAACAUCCCUCAUGCACCAGAGCUGAACGAGUGAGAUCAACCCUUCAGAGUGUGUAAGUGAGCACAUGAAGAGCACAUUCACGGCUCAUGCAAAACCAGUAACACUAAAGUCAUUAGAUUUGUUUAAAUGUAGUUAAAUUUCAGUACAAUUCAGUUUUUACAUGGACUAAAUAUUAGCAAACUUUGCUAGGUUUUGUCUUCUCCAAGACAGAAAAAAACUGACUUGACUUUGGUGGCCUUUGCGAUGCGACUGUUGCACAUGCAGAACUUGCGAUCUGCAGUGUGUGUUAUAGAGUGUGUGAUCUGCAGUCUGCGAAGCAUUACACUUUUGUCACAUUUGUGUUGUUAACUAUUUUGGCUUAGAAUCAUAUAUUCAUACUAAACAACCGAAAUCAAACAAAUGAUAUGGAGUCUAGAGUAAACACUGCUUAUCUUAUAAAUGGAGGCUAAUAAAGUUCACUUAUUAAAAUGACUUAAAUUAAUGAACUCUUUGAGAGCUAGGAAUUCAGCCUUACCAUUUGUUCUUGUUAGGAACUCCAGGGCCAGUGCUUUCUUGCCAGGGAAGAUAAAGGGGGAAGCUUGAGCUUGCAGGCUGAUCAGCUGAUAUCCAGUACCAUAAAAUGUUUAAUAUCGGCGGAGUGAUCAGUCAGCCACUACUCCAAGUCAUUUGAUGUGCAUAUGAUCUACGGACCGCUCGAUCCAGUGAAUCCAUACCCCGAGUUUAUUCAUCUCUACCA